GGAGAGGUGGCAGAGUGGUAAUGCAGCAGCCUGCUAAGCUGUCAUCGUUUUUCGAUGCCCGGGUUCGAAUCCCGGUCUCUCCGCCA
rnacentral:tRNA from 1 species